rnacentral:rRNA from 1 species
GCAGUCGAACGAUGAAAGGGAGCUUGCUCCCUGGAUUAGUGGCGAACGGGUGAGUAACACGUGAGUAACCUGCCCUUGACUCUGGGAUAAGCACUGGAAACGGUGUCUAAUACCGGAUACGAACUUCAGCCGCAUGGCUAGGAGUUGGAAAGAAUUUCGGUCAAGGAUGGACUCGCGGCCUAUCAGCUAGUUGGUGAGGUAAUGGCCCACCAAGGCGACGACGGGUAGCCGGCCUGAGAGGGUGACCGGCCACACUGGGACUGAGACACGGCCCAGACUCCUACGGGAGGCAGCAGUGGGGAAUAUUGCACAAUGGGCGCAAGCCUGAUGCAGCAACGCCGCGUGAGGGACGACGGCCUUCGGGUUGUAAACCUCUUUUAGUAGGGAAGAAGCAAAGUGUUUUACAUGGAGUGACGGUACCUGCAGAAAAAGCACCGGCUAACUACGUGCCAGCAGCCGCGGUAAUACGUAGGGUGCAAGCGUUAUCCGGAAUUAUUGGGCGUAAAGAGCUCGUAGGCGGUUUGUCGCGUCUGCUGUGAAAACUGGGGGCUCAACCCCCAGCCUGCAGUGGGUACGGGCAGACUAGAGUGCGGUAGGGGAGAUUGGAAUUCCUGGUGUAGCGGUGGAAUGCGCAGAUAUCAGGAGGAACACCAAUGGCGAAGGCAGAUCUCUGGGCCGUAACUGACGCUGAGGAGCGAAA